rnacentral:rRNA from 1 species
UACAGAGGGGGCAAGCGUUGUUCGGAAUUACUGGGCGUAAAGGGCGCGUAGGCGGCCAGCACAAGUCAGUUGUGAAAUCUCCGAGCUUAACUCGGAAAGGUCAACUGAUACUGUGCGGCUAGAGUGCGGAAGGGGCAACUGGAAUUCUUGGUGUAGCGGUGAAAUGCGUAGAUAUCAAGAGGAACACCUGCGGCGAAGGCGGGUUGCUGGGCCGACACUGACGCUGAUGCGCGAAAGCGUGGGAGCGAACAGG